CUCAGAAAGGACAAGGUGUAGCACAACAUCUCCGGGCAUCUAUUUACCAUGACGAACUACAGUAAAAUGAGACAACUCGUCAUGGAUUUCAAUAUUUAUUGGUAUGAGGACGGCGACAUUUUCCUUGCAGUUGAUGAUCCUGGGUAACGUCCCGCAUGCCGCACACAUCAUCACCUGAUUGGGACCAGGAUUCGCCAGCGUUGGCUGGCUGUUCGAUAUCGGACCAGUGAUCGCCAGUCAUUUCGUCAUCGGUGGUGGCAGGUGGCAGGCUCCGGAACCCAAGUCCUUCUACGACUUCCAGAAGGUUGCAACAGCCAGUCCAACCUACCCGAAGGAUCAUCAUCAUCAUCAUUGCAUCAGUGUACAAGUUCCUGCCAACGGACAGCAAUUGACUGUCAAGAAUGGGUCGAUUGUGCCUGCGAAACGUCGUUUGGCUCAUGCUAGUUUAUUUUAGCGUGUUUUCCCUGGGGACUCCGAAAGCAUCGUGUAGAGGUAAAUGUGAGCGGCUCCAACAAAAGGAGAACGAGCGGCACACGUUGGUCACGUGCACGGCUACUCUGUAUGAGACGUGGCCGUUCAUAGGUCGCAAGUGGACCGGUCCAAAUCUUUACGGGUACACCAGCAAUAUGGUGGCAUGGUGGAUAUUCUGUGUUACAUUGUUUUCAGCGAGGAACACUGGACAUUGUGUGCCACGUGGGGAGCUUGCAGCGGACGUUAAAGGACCUGCGCGUAAAAUUCAUCUGCAGGCCGA